ACUCACUCAGGUGCAGCUUUCAAAGACAGCUAUGAGGGGGAAUUCUCUCAGUGUGCAGGGCUUCACGCACUACACUUGGUCAUCAAAUUCAUGUUGAAAGAGAUGCAGCCUCAGCCUCAGUUUGGAAUAUACACAGACGGGUAGGUGCUGAAGGGCACAGACAGAUCAUCAGAGGCCUAGUGGGAGAGAAAUUAGGAGAUCAUAGACAAGGAUAUCUGGAGUAGUGUUGUGUAGAUGACACUAUGGGAGAAGACACAAUGUGGGAAGAUCUUUCAGUUGCAGGUUAACACCUACCAGAAAUCAUCUAUUUUGGAAGAGGCACUAGACAGCCAAGUAGAUGGACUGACUCAGCCACUUGAUGCCAGCCAGUUUCUGUCAUUGGCCAUUCCAGUGCUGCUGAAAUGAACACAUGAAAAGAGUAGCUUUAGUGUCAGAGAUGUUAGGUUAUGCUCGGGCCCAACAGCAUGGGCUCCCAUUCAUCAAAGCUGGUCUAGCUCCAGGUGCUGCCGAACAGCAAACUUGCCAGUAACAAAGAUGACAUCUUCAUCCCCAAUAUUGCAUCAUUUCUUCAGGAGAUCAUCCCAUCACUAAGCGGCAAGUUCACCACAGUCUACUUCUUUCAUCUUGCCAGGGUCAGUGGUUCAUUUUUGACAGUAACAAAUUCUGAACAUGAAUUUGCUUUUUCUGUCCCCAUGGUUUCAGGCAACACUGUUAUCUGAAUGCUUGCAGAGUGUCAGAUCCAACAACAGCAAUUUCACUUAUAAUUAUGUCAGGCAGAGGGACAAACCUUAAAACCAAGCAGGUCCAUCAGUGGGUCCAUAAUGACAGGAUCUGCUGGUCAUAUCACAAGCCACACCACUCUAUUGCAUCAACCUGAUAGAGUGCUGAAACAGCCUGUUGAAACACAACGGAGGUGUAGGCCCAGACAUGCUUCCCUGUGAGAAUGAGACAGCACUCUCCAGGACAUAGCAUCUAUCCUGAAUCAAUGAGCAUUCGCGGGCUCUGGGUUCCCGAUAAACAGAAUACAUAGAUGAGAAACCAAAGUCUAGAAGCAAGAGUGGCCUCUGUUACCAACAUUCCCAGUGACCCACUGGAGAAUUUGUGCUUCUUGUUCCUGCAACUCUGGGGUCUGUGGGUUUAAAGAUCUUGGUUCCCAAAGGAAGAACAUUUCUGCCAUGAACACAUCAUCAUUUCCCUUGAAUCUAAGCUGUGGUAGCUUCCUGGACACAUUAAAUUUCUCAUGGCAAAGGACAAAAGGACAAGAAAAGCAGUCACCAUCCUAACAGAGGUAAUGGAUUCUGGCCCUCCUUUAUGCCCCACCUCAGGAGGAGGAGCUGCUGCUACAGGGAGGAAUAUGCUGGCAAUCUACCUUUGGAAAGUCCUUGACCAAUUGUUUCGGUAAAUGGACAAGUGUAGCGGCCCCAGCCUGAGGCAGGUAUAGUGCCCAGGGUUUCAUGCCAGUAGAUGACCCAUCCAGAAGAGCAGAGGUGAUGUCUGAGGACUAUCGAUUUACAGCAAUGGAUUGGUCAAGGAAGGAUAAAGAAACUUGGAAAGAACUAUCAUGAUACCUGCCCUGAGAAGCCAAAAUUUGGUUUAACUUUGUGUUGUUUACUGUUUGGUUCUAUAAAAGCUAAGUUUAUAAAAUAUUGUAUGACAGGUGAAUUUAAAUGUUACUAACCAUCUUGGAUGUCCUGCUCUUCUGCUGUACAGCAAUAAAGUCUCUCUAAAUGCAA
rnacentral:lncRNA from 1 species